rnacentral:rRNA from 1 species
CCUACGGGAUGCAGCAGUGGGGGAUAUUGCACAAUGGGGGAAACCCUGAUGCAGCGACGCCGCGUGAGUGAAGAAGUAUUUCGGUAUGUAAAGCUCUAUCAGCAGGGAAGAAAAUGACAGUACCUGACCACGAAGCACCGGCUAACUACGUGCCAGCAGCCGCGGUACUACGUAGGGGGCAAGCGUUAUCCGGAUUUACUGGGUGUAAAGGGAGCGUAGACGGUUAUGUAAGUCUGGAGUGAAAGCCCGGGGCCCAACCCCGGGACUGCUUUGGAAACGGUGUAACUGGAGUACAGGAGGGGCAGGCGGAAUGCCUGGUGUAGCGGUGAAAGGCGUAGAUAUCAGGAGGAACACCGGCGGCGAAGGCGGCCUGCUGGACUGAAACUGACGUUGAGGCUCGAAAGCGUGGGGUGCAAACAGGAUUAGAUACCCUGGUAGUC